rnacentral:misc_RNA from 1 species
GUUUUUUUGAAAAAGUGAGGUUUGCAUUAUGGAGGGGGACAGUAUAUGGGGCACGACUGUAUUUAAAUUCAGGUCAUACAAGUUGAAAAUAUGGCCGCCAGGAGGUGAGUCCUAAAACAAUGUUAUCUGGAUACAGCCUUCAUAUUUCCAUCAUCAGGGCAGGGAAUUCAAGGCGUACAAUCUGCCUCACUAUAGUCCUCUGAUCAUGUGGCAGUCAAUACCUUUUUAGCCAACUUAAUUGGGGCUUCAGCCCCAAGGGGCUAUAUUGCAGUGUUCAGUUUACGCCCAUCAUACGUUCGUCUGUAGAUGUCCCUGGACGCCAUGUUGCACGUUGACAUUUUUUGGGGAGAGAGGGGGGUUAUGGAGAAUGUACAAUCCUCUAUGGAUAGUAGUUGAGAUUUCAUUAGGAUUUUCUCCAAUAGAGGGCGUUGCUGUUGAUUUCAAUAAAACAAGCGGGGCUUUUCUUAGAACAAAGAAAAGCAAGGUUUCUGGUGUCUGGGGAGUAAUCGGCGUUUUGUUGCGAUAUGUGGAGAAUAUAAAGGUUGUAAGGCUGUUCUGUUCACGGAGCUGGUGUUUAAGAGAUCCGGCGGAACAAAUUGAAUGCUAACUAGCUACCGUUGAUACGGUUGGUACGUUAAUAAAGCAUCUCAAUCAAAGUCGGAUUCUCUUGGUGUAUUCGUCGACUCUUGUAGUCAAGUCUCAUCUUUCCGCACAAUUCAAUUUGUUGGUCGGAACGGGGAAAGAGCGGGAAACUACAACAUGGAGCAGGCGCAGAGGUUGAGACGCGGAGUUCGCCGGGAGCUGUGUAGGAGGGUUUCGGAUAUGGAGACAGCGAUACAGGAGAAUCAGGCCAUGGGCUUUCUUCAGGAGCUGGAGGCGGAGAUGAAGACAGAGUGGAACAAGCUCAUGGAAGCUCAAGGAGAAGUACUCAAGCUGGUUGGUGAGGAACAGGAAGAAGACGAAGAGAGAGUGAUCGAGGACGUAAGGAAUCGUUACCUUGAAGUAAGGAAAAGGUUCAGCACGCACAAAGAAGAAUCUAUUAAGGUUGUUAAUGAAAGUAAUAAUGACAAUGUGUCUACUAAUUCCAAUGAGAAUGCAUCUGUAGCGAGCGGUAAUCAGACCUGCUACGGACGCGAGUCAAAAUUACGGUGUUACGGACGACCUCGAAAAAUUACGGACAGCAAGAAAUCUCUGAAAUUUAUAUUUUUUAAUGCAAAAAAAAAGAAAUAAACACAGUGUAAAAUCAA